rnacentral:rRNA from 1 species
CACGGGGGGAGCAAGCGUUGUUCGGAAUCACUGGGCGUAAAGGGCGUGUAGGCGGUCAAGUAAGUGGAAUGUGAAAUCCCUCGGCUCACCCGAGGACCUGCAUCCCAAACUGCUUGGCUUGAGUAUGGGAGAGGAUGAGGGAAUUCCUGGUGUAGCGGUGAAAUGCGUAGAUAUCAGGAGGAACACCGGUGGUGUAGACGGCUCUCUGGACCGUAACUGACGCUGAGACACGAAAGCGUGGGUAGCAAACAGG